CGGGUGGUAAGGAGCGAGGGGUCCUGGACUGCAAGAGGAUGCAGACCAGGCUGAGGGACCCCCCCACCCCCAGUGCACGAAUUUCGUGCACCGGUCCUCUAGUAUGUUAUAUGUUGCCUCAAAAAUCCAGAGUCCCAUCCAACAUUCUGCUUCUUUCUUUGUAGUGGGCAAUAAAGUUUCAACAAUUGCCUUUCACUUUAGAGGAGAUAUUCUAACAUGCCCCAGAUCACUGAAUAUUCCAAAAAGUUUAUUGACAUGACAUGCCUCUCCAUUUUUGUGAGAUUUAUUACCCUUCCCUUGACAUACAUAUGUUCUACUAAGAAUCUAAAGUGUUUGCAAUUUCCUGCUCAGUGGGCCCAAUUAUCAUAAGUCAUCAAUAUAAUGGACCAGCAUAAUGUUUUGAACUAUAGCAAGGUGACCUAUGUCCCUUUGGACUGUAGUAUGACAGAAAUCGGGAGACAAAGCCCUGAGGUCGUAGAAUGAAGAUGUACUGCUGUCCCAGAUACACAAAGGCAAACUAUUUCUGAUUAUCUUUACUUAGCGGAAUGGAAAAGAAAGCACUUGGGAUCAAGAUGUACAUCAGGCCCAAAGUUGCGUUGACGUGUUCCAGUAAAAAUGUCAUGUCUAGAACCACAGCUGCAAUUGACAUCCCACCUAUCUUCACAGUAAUCUAUGGUCAUUCUCCAAGGCCCACCUGGUUUUCCCACCAGCCAAGUAGCAUCACACCUGGAGGAUUCAUUCAUGACUCAAACCUUUAUUCUUGAAGAAUCACAACCCUUGGGUGUAUUUCCACCCAUGUAGGGGUGAAAAUCCUCCAUUUACUUUUACUACUGGACCCAGAGGAACAAGGAGACACAUCACAGGUGAUCCCACCCAACCUGGGCUCUCUCCAGAUUUCUCCCCAACUCUACUUUAUAGCAGCCUCCACUUCUUUUUCAUAGUCAAGGUCAACACCCCAGCCAAUACCACAAUCCGCCUGAUUACUUGUUUUCUCAGUGGCCAGUGACAGUCUCAGCUCCUAUUCAGGUAAGUCAUUUUUGCAUCUCUCGAGGGACCCAGUUCCCCACUGGGUGGUAAGGAUGUAAAAUUUCAAUCUCUGCCCCCACCCCCCACCACCACUCACUCUCAGGCUCACAUAUUUGACCCCAGGAGAACUAGCACCAUAUGUUGGUACUGGUUCAGCAUGCUCCACAAUCUGCAGACCAGCAGGUCCCACAAGGUGGUACCUCUCAGCUCACAUAGUAACCGAGCCUGCAGGAGGGUGUUCCGCCAUGCGUUAAGGCCACCUAGUCCUGGAUAAUGGGUACAAGGAAAGACCAGGGAACCCCAUGGGCACUGGCCUAUUAGCAUACAUCUUUGGCCUUCAUAGGAACAUGAGCUUCUUGGUGUUAGACAAUGCCUAACAGUGGCAUCAGUAGGUUUAUGAGUGGAGGUGCAGAGGGAGGCAGCGGGAGGAUGAGAAAGCAAAUCCAACUCUACAAUAGGAUCCAUUGCAGGUGGACAAAUGGCUGCCCCUCCAUGGAGGGAGUUUGUGAAAUCAGACUGUGAAGUCAGAAAAAAAAAAAAAAAUAUAUAUAUAUAUAUAUAUAUAUAUAUAUAUAUAUAUAUAUAUUCUGCCCCUGGGUUCCUGGCACAGAGCCCCUAAACCCUUUUUUCAUAAGUGAUAGGAGCAUCUUUUGUUCUAUUAAGAUGACUUUGGGUGGGCUAUUGGAUGGCUCCUGGAUGGGGACUGGUCACCAAAAAAAAAAAAAAAAAAAAAAAAA